rnacentral:lncRNA from 1 species
CUCUCGCUCGCAGAUCACUCCAUCGGGCGGUGUUCGGCAGGGAAGGUGGUCGGUAGAAGCUCGUGUCCGAAGCUAUCUCGAAGGUGUCUCUCGCCCUCACCUCUCUCCAUUGGUAGGAGGUCGCGUCUCAACUGCUCCACUGUCCAUCCCAGUACCUAUGACGCAUUCCUUCAGUCGUGGGCAUCCGAAAUUGGGAACAAUUUCGGAGCUAAUUCGGCCACAACCGAACAGAGGAUUCAACUCAAAUA